rnacentral:rRNA from 1 species
AGUGAACGCUGGCGGUAGGCCUAACACAUGCAAGUCGAACGGCAGCACAGUAAGAGCUUGCUCUUACGGGUGGCGAGUGGCGGACGGGUGAGGAAUACAUUGGAAUCUACUUUUUCGUGGGGGAUAACGUAGGGAAACUUACGCUAAUACCGCAUACGACCUACGGGUGAAAGCAGGGGAUCUUCGGACCUUGCGCGAUUGAAUGAGCCGAUGUCGGAUUAGCUAGUUGGCGGGGUAAAGGCCCACCAAGGCGACGAUCCGUAGCUGGUCUGAGAGGAUGAUCAGCCACACUGGAACUGAGACACGGUCCAGACUCCUACGGGAGGCAGCAGUGGGGAAUAUUGGACAAUGGGCGCAAGCCUGAUCCAGCCAUACCGCGUGGGUGAAGAGGGCCUUCGGGUUGUAAAGCCCUUUUGUUGGGAAAGAAAAGCAGCAGGUUAAUACCCCGCUGUUCUGACGGUACCCAAAGAAUAAGCACCGGCUAACUUCGUG